GACCAGACUCCUACGGGAGGCAGCAGUGGGGAAUAUUGCACAAUGGGGGAAACCCUGAUGCAGCGACGCCGCGUGAAGGAAGAAGUAUUUCGGUAUGUAAACUUCUAUCAGCAGGGAAGAAAAUGACGGUACCUGACUAAGAAGCCCCGGCUAACUACGUGCCAGCAGCCGCGGUAAUACGUAGGGGGCAAGCGUUAUCCGGAUUUACUGGGUGUAAAGGGAGCGUAGACGGCAGUGCAAGUCUGAAGUGAAAGCCCCGGGCUUAACCCGGGAAUUGCUUUGGAAACUGUACGGCUGGAGUGCUGGAGAGGUAAGCGGAAUUCCUAGUGUAGCGGUGAAAUGCGUAGAUAUUAGGAGGAACACCAGUGGCGAAGGCGGCUUACUGGACAGUAACUGACGUUGAGGCUCGAAAGCGUGGGGAGCAAACAGGAUUAGAUACCCGAGUA
rnacentral:rRNA from 1 species